rnacentral:tRNA from 1 species
GACUGAUUGGCGCAAUGGUAGCGCGUUUGAUUCCAACAAAUGAUGAUAUCAAAAGGUUGCGUGUUCGAGUCACGUAUCGGUCA